GAUGAACGCUGGCGGCGUGCCUAAUACAUGCAAGUCGAGCGAACAGACGAGGAGCUUGCUCCUCUGACGUUAGCGGCGGACGGGUGAGUAACACGUGGAUAACCUACCUAUAAGACUGGGAUAACUUCGGGAAACCGGAGCUAAUACCGGAUAAUAUAUUGAACCGCAUUGUUCAAUAGUUAAAUACGGUUUUUGUGUCACUUAUAGCUUGAUCCGCGCCGCAUCAGCUAGUUGGUAAGGUAACGGCUUACCAAGGCAACGAUGCGUAGCCGACCUGAGAGGGUGAUCGGCCACACGGGAACUGAGACACGGUCCAGACUCCUACGGGAGGCAGCAGUAGGGAAUCUUCCGCAAUGGGCGAAAGCCUGACGGAGCAACGCCGCGUGAGUGAUGAAGGUCUUCGGAUCGUAAAACUCUGUUAUUAGGGAAGAACAAAUGUGUAAGUAACUAUGCACGUCUUGACGGUACCUAAUCAGAAAGCCACGGCUAACUACGUG
rnacentral:rRNA from 1 species